rnacentral:rRNA from 2 species
GAUGAACGCUGGCGGCGCGCCUAACACAUGCAAGUCGAACGGUUAAAGCACCUUUUAGGUGUGUAUAAAGUGGCGAACGGCUGAGUAACACGUGGGCAACCUGCCCUCCUCUUGGGGAUAGCCUCGGGAAACCGAGGAUAAUACCCGAUACUUCAAUGUGGCCGCAUGACGACAUUGAGAAAGCUUUUGCGGAGAAGGAUGGGCCCGCGGCCUGUUAGCUUGUUGGUGGGGUAGAGGCCUACCAAGGCAAUGAUGGGUAGCUGGGUUGAGAGACCGACCAGCCAGAUUGGGACUGAGGCACGGCCCAGACUCCUACGGGAGGCAGCAGUGGGGAAUCUUGCACAAUGGGCGAAAGCCUGAUGCAGCGACGCCGCGUGCGGGACGAAGGCCUUUCGGGUUGUAAACCGCUUUUCAGCAGGGACGAGGCGAAAGUGACGGUACCUGCAGAAGAAGCCC